rnacentral:rRNA from 1 species
UGGGGAAUUUUGGACAAUGGGCGAAAGCCUGAUCCAGCAAUGCCGCGUGUGUGAAGAAGGCCUUCGGGUUGUAAAGCACUUUUGUCCGGAAAGAAAUGGCUCUGGUUAAUAUCUGGGGUCGAUGACGGUACCGGUAGUAUAAGGACCGGCUAACUACGUGCCAGCAGCCGCGGUAAUACGUAGGGUCCAAGUGUUAAUCGGAAUUACUGGGCGUAAAGCGUGCGCAGGCGGUUGUGUAAGACCGAUGUGAAAUCCCCGAGCUUAACUUGGGAAUUGCAGUGGUGACUGCACGGAUAGAGUGUGUCAGAGGGGGGUAGAAUUCCACGUGUAGCAGUGAAGUGCGUAGAGAUGUGGAGGACUACCGGUGACGAAGGCAGCCCCCUGGGAUAACACUGACGCACAUGCACGAAAGCGUGGGGAGCAAACAGG